rnacentral:rRNA from 1 species
UACGUAGGGUGCAAGCGUUAAUCGGAAUUACUGGGCGUAAAGCGUGCGCAGGCGGUUAUGCAAGACAGAGGUGAAGUCCCCGGGCUCAACCUGGGAACUGCCUUUGUGACUGCAUAGCUAGAGUACGGUAGAGGGGGAUGGGAUUCCGCGUGUAGCAGUGAAAUGCGUAGAUAUGCGGAGGAACACCGAUGGCGAAGGCAAUCCCCUGGACCUGUACUGACGCUCAUGCACGAAAGCGUGGGGAGCAAACAGG